rnacentral:pre_miRNA from 1 species
GAGACACCCCUAUGGAGCAGGACUUGCUUCAGUGGGGCUUUGGUGUUCACUGAGUCUGCCCGUUGAGUAUGUCACU